rnacentral:rRNA from 1 species
GUUAAGUCAGAUGUGAAAGACCCGGGGCGUCAACCUCCGGAAAUUGCAUUUGAAACUGGCAAACUAGAGUACUGUAGAGGGGGUAGAAUUUCAGGUGUAGCGGUGAAAUAGCGUAGAGAUCUGAAGGAAUACCGGUGGCGAAGGCGGCCCCCUGGACAGAUACUGACACUCAGAUGCGAAAGACGUGGGGAGGCAAACAGGAUUAGAUACCCUCGGUAG